rnacentral:lncRNA from 1 species
GGAAAGACAAGCCUUCCUAGUUGGCCUCCAUGACAACACUUCCAAGAGCCUCCAGAGAAAGCAGCCUGUCCCAGCCAGGGCGGUGCUGGGUGUUGGAAGUCCUCGGGCUGCGUGUGCCGGAGGAAGCUCACGGGUGUCUGCUUUCUGCCGGAGGAAGCCGGGCAGUUUGUUCUGGAAGGAGCUUCUCUAGCUACAUGAUCAGCACUUCUGUCUCCAUAUCUCAGCUCUUAGUGACCCUUGGCUCUGCUGGGUUCAGCCCGCGUCCAUUCUUCCCUCUCGCCGAAGAGAACGGAGCACCUGUUCUGUGCAGACUUGUGCUUUGCCCCCGAAGCUGCAAAGUCGUUCAGGACCAGAGUCCAGGGAGCCUUGGGUCUGCGCAGGAUGCUGACUGGCGGUUUGAUGCGCAGGCAGGAUCACAAGCCUGGGCCGAAGACUGGGUCGCCCCCUCCCCCAUCACCACGCCUUCAUCCUCUGGCUCCUAGACCUAUUUCUGCGGUCAAGUCUCCACAGGACCGCCCCGAGGCCACGGGAGCUCAAGAAUACACUGCAUUUUUCUCAUUUUAAUGAAGGUACAAAGGGUACUUGGGAAGGAAGCGCGCCAAGAAAUCAUGCCCUUUCAGGUACAUUCUUGGCCGCUGGGUUGGGGAUUGCGUAGGUGUUGUUUUAUUCUAUUUUAUUUUUUCACGGAGGGGAGGGAGAACUGCUUUAUCUCUUUGACUCAGGCCUGAGGAAUGCCACCUCCUGACCGCCCGCCCACCGCCUGACCCUGACCCUGACCCGUGGAGCCCUCAGCCCUGCUGGUGAUGACAAGGAGCCUGGCUAGGCACUAGGCUGCAGGGGGAGCGGGGAGGAGUGAAGCCCAUCAGCGCAGAGGGAGGGAUGAGCUAAGAAGCUGAGGCCAGGAGCCAGGGGUCUGGAGGCCCCAAGUGGCAGACCCCCGGGAGGAGGAGACAGUGGGCUGGGCAGAUCUGUGGCUCUCUCUUCUGCCCAAGGACAAACCUUGGCCUCCCCGUCCAGGAGUCCCCCCGUCCCGGUUCUAACCUUGACACAUGGAGUGACUUAGGAGAAGUCACUUGCCUCCCCGAGUCAGGGCGUCCUCUGCUCGAAAAACGAGGCUGGUAACAUCUGUGACCUCACGGUGCGUCGUGAGACCCGGUGACUGACUCAUUCUUAGGUGUGUUGGGCUCUCGGAGAGCCUGGGUCGGGCAGCUCACCUGGCCUGGGACACGGCUGCUAAGGAAGGGGACGUUUCCCUGUGUGCCUAGCUCCAUCCCUCGUGGCUGCCCAUGACCUUGGCAGGGCCCUCCGCUUCUGCAGGUCUCCUUGCCUAUUAAAUGGUAAUGAGGGCCAAAACAGCAUGUGCCUCAAUGGAAGGUCGUGAGGUUCCAUGGUGUCCAUAAAAGGCUCUGAGGUCCCAGGAGAAAGGCGCCAAGGAGCUACAAGGUGUUAUUAGAGGUAAUUGGGUCAGCAGUGGGGUGCACCUUCAAAGUGGCCUGACUCCGGUUCCCUCCCAGUCUCUUCUCUCUGUCCUCCUCGAUGCUGUGUCCCCCUUUUUACCCCCCACCAUCCCUUUCUCAUCCUUGUCUGGCCCUCAAGUUACUCUCACUCUUUCCCUGUAACAAGCAUUCUGCCUCAAAAUGAGGGGACCUCAGACAUCUAGAACUUGCAAAGCCCUGGGAAGCACCAUCUAAACAUCAAGCUAGAGAAGUAAAGGUUGUCCAUUCAUCCAUCCAUCAAACAUCCACCCACCCAACCAAUCACACAUCCAUCCAUCCAAGAUCCAUCCAUCCACCCAACCAACCAAACAUCCAUCCAUCCAUCUACCCAACCAACCAAACAUCCAUCCAUUCACUCAACCAACCAAACAUCCAUCCAUCAAAGAUCCAGCCAGCCAGCCAACCAACCAAUCACACAUCCAUCCAUCCAUUCACUCAACCAACCAAUCACACAUCCAUCCAUCCAUCUACCCAAACAAACAGUCAGCCAGCCAGCCAGCCAGCCACCUAGUCUUCUACCCACCCAUUUAACUAACCAACCACGAAUCCAUCCAUCUUUCUAUCCAUUCACCCAUCCAUCAACUCACCCACACAACCAGCCAAUCACCUUCUAUCCAUGCAUCCAUCCACCCACUCACUUAACCAUCCAUCCAUCCACCCAUUUACCCACUCGCCCACCCAACCAAGUGCCCAUUUACACACACACACACACACACACACACACACCCCUAAUCCUACCAUCCAUCUUUCAAACCUCGCACCCACACCCAGUGCUGACCCAGUCAGGCCCAUAUUAGGUGCUGAGCUACCCAGAUGAACUCAGACCUGCCCCCCACCCCCCCUGCCCCCCAUUCCCAGUCAAGCUGCAGAGCCCAGGACUCACCUGGCCCAGGAGGGUGCAUGUGAGACAGCACCCCGCUUCCCCAGGACCCCUGUGUCCUGUCCUGUCUGUUCACCCCGACAGGAGUUUCUUCCCUCUCUUCACUCUGACCCACACUCCACUCACUCCUCUGCAGGCAUAGGGGUGUCAGAGGGCAGCAUGUGGCGGGGGGGGGUGUGACACCCCAGGGGCCUUCUCCCCACCUCUGAUUCCUGAGUUUUCUCUGCAGAGAAGAUGGUGCCCACAGCCACGUGUAGGCCCAGGAGAAAGACUCCAAAGUGAGGGCAGUUUCUGGAGAAAAAUCAAAGCAGGGGGACCCAGCAGAAGGCCCUGGCAGCUUCUGGCUCCUCUACCUGCUCUGGACACUCCUGAGAGCCCAAGGAGCAGCCCAGGGACCAUCGGCUUCAGAAGCCCCCACCCGGAGCUUGUUCUCGCACAUUCCUGGGCCGGCCCCUCUCCAGUGAGGCUCUGAGGGCACUCAGGUGGCUGUGCGUGAACAUAUCCCGGGGGUCUGUGGCCUGGCGGUUGAGAACCAUGGCC